UACGUAGGGGGCUAGCGUUGUCCGGAAUCAUUGGGCGUAAAGCGCGUGUAGGCGGCCCGGUAAGUCCGCUGUGAAAGUCGGGGGCUCAACCCUCGGAUGCCGGUGGAUACUGUCGGGCUCGAGUACGGAAGAGGAGUGUGGAAUUCCCGGUGUAGCGGUGAAAUGCGCAGAUAUCGGGAAGAACACCCGUGGCGAAGGCGGCACUCUGGGACGGUACUGACGCUGAGACGCGAAAGCGUGGGGAGCGAACAGG
rnacentral:rRNA from 1 species